rnacentral:rRNA from 1 species
CACGGGGGGAGCAAGCGUUGUUCGGAAUCACUGGGCGUAAAGGGCGUGUAGGCGGUCAGGUAAGUGAGACGUGAAAUGCCCCGGCUUACCCGGGGACCUGCGUCUCAUACUACUUGGCUUGAGUACGGGAGAGGGUGUGGGAAUUCCUGGUGUAGCGGUGAAAUGCGUAGAUAUCGGGAGGAACACCUGUGGCGAAAGCGGCUCACUGGACCACAACUGACGCUGAGGCGCGAAAUCCAGGGGAGCAAACGGG